GUUGUCUCUUUAAUCUGUAGACCGUUGUUGGGUUUUAAAGGUGGUUGUCUCUUUAAUCUGUAGACCGUUGUUGGGUUUUAAAGGUGGUUGUCUCUUUAAUCUGUAGACCGUUGUUGGGUUUUAGAGGUGGUUGUCUCUUUAAUCUGUAGACCGUUGUUGGGUUUUAGAGGUGGUUGUCUCUUUAAUCUGUAGACCGUUGUUGGGUUUUAGAGGUGGUUGUCUCUUUAAUCUGUAGACCGUUGUUGGGUUUUAGAGGUGGUUGUCUCUUUAAUCUGUAGACCGUUGUUGGGUUUUAAAGGUGGUUGUCUCUUUAAUCUGUAGACCGUUGUUGGGUUUUAAAGGUGGUUGUCUCUUUAAUCUGUAGACCGUUGUUGGGUUUUAAAGGUGGUUGUCUCUUUAAUCUGUAGACCGUUGUUGGGUUUUAGAGGUGGUUGUCUCUUUAAUCUGUAGACCGUUGUUGGGUUUUAGAGGUGGUUGUCUCUUUAAUCUGUAGACCGUUGUUGGGUUUUAGAGGUGGUUGUCUCUUUAAUCUGUAGACCAUUGUUGGGUUUUAAAGGUGGUUGUCUCUUUAAUCUGUUGACCGUUGUUGGGUUUUAAAGGUGGUUGUCUCUUUAAUCUGUAGACCGUUGUUGAGUUUUAGAGGUGGUUGUCUCUUUAAUCUGUAGACCGUUGUUGGGUUUUAAAGGGGGUUGUCUCUUUAAUCUGUAGACCGUUGUUGGGUUUUAAAGGUGGUUGUCUCUUUAAUCUGUAGACCGUUGUUGGGUUUUAGAGGUGGUUGUCUCUUUAAU